rnacentral:rRNA from 1 species
AGUGAACGCUGGCGGUAGGCCUAACACAUGCAAGUCGAACGGCAGCACAGUAAGAGCUUGCUCUUACGGGUGGCGAGUGGCGGACGGGUGAGGAAUACAUCGGAAUCUACUUUUCGUGGGGGAUAACGUAGGGAAACUUACGCUAAUACCGCAUACGACCUACGGGUGAAAGCAUGGGAUCUUCGGACCUUGCGCUAUUGAAUGAGCCGAUGUCGGAUUAGCUAGUUGGCGGGGUAAAGGCCCACCAAGGCGACGAUCCGUAGCUGGUCUGAGAGGAUGAUCAGCCACACUGGAACUGAGACACGGUCCAGACUCCUACGGGAGGCAGCAGUGGGGAAUAUUGGACAAUGGGCGCAAGCCUGAUCCAGCCAUACCGCGUGGGUGAAGAAGGCCUUCGGGUUGUAAAGCCCUUUUGUUGGGAAAGAAAAGCAGCAGGUUAAUACCCCGCUGUUCUGACGGUACCCAAAGAAUAAGCACCGGCUAACUUCGUG